GGACCUGGGUGGUUAAUGUAAAGAAAGGGCUUUAGGGGAGAAGAACACCAGCCUAUGGGGAGAGUAGGCCUUGAGAUCCUUUCUUGAGACAGGAGCUCUAAUAAUAGAGUUGGAGAGGUACUGAGAAACCUUAGGGAUGACGUGCCCCUUCCGAAAGGGCUAGGAACUGGCUCUCUGAGGAGAAAGCUCAGGGAGCUUGCUUACUAUUGGAGUUGGAAAGGACUCUGCAGAGCCUGGAAAAGGGCAUGGAGACUAGCUGAUGUAGGAAGAUGCCUAGGGGAGCAUCAAGGUGCCUAAGGGAGCAAACCUAGGCUGAUCACUGUAGCAUUUGUGGGUUGGAACCCACAGUAAAAGGAGAGCCUGGGUUCCUCUGCAGACCAUGGAGGAAGGAAGGGUGCCCCGCACUCCCUCAGGAUAAAAGAGGCAAGGACUAUUGGUAGCUGUGAGACAAUGGCUAUAAAGAACACUGGGCCUAGAGUCAGCCUCUGAAGGCCUAGUGUAAGAGCACUGAACUACCUGUUUGGACUUUGUUACCACUAAAGGGGUAGGACUGAGCGUGACCUGCCCAGAGGGCCAAGAUAGAAGAAACAGAUCCCUGCAGAGCUGGAGUAGCUGUCAGCAGGGAAUGCCAGAAGAGCAGAACCUCCUAUACCAUAAGGAGUUGUGCUGACUGAUCACAGCUGUCAUCGUGGGUAGAAGUACUGGACCUGCUAUAGAUCCUGUAGACUCAAGGAAGGAACUGCUGCUGGGAAUGAAGAUGUCCACUACGACUGCUGCUGCUAAUUAGCUGGAUUAUUUUCAGGCAGUUUGGUCCAUUGUGAAGCGUAUGCUCCAGUGCUGCAAAAUCGGAUGCGGAACUUGUUUGUCACGUGCUGCAGAAAUAUUCCACCUGCCAGAGAAAAUGGCUGCUUUACCUUCUGGAUCUAUGACACUUCAGCUGCCAUUUUGUGCUCUAUCUGUCCUCCAAACUGCCAUCCUCUUUCUGCUAGUCAGAUGAUUAGCAUUCAAGACAUUAGCGCAGAUUGUAAACAAAGGAUUAAUCGUCCUCUUCCUGGUUGUUGCUGCAAGAAAAAAAAUACAGGAAGCAUCACAUUGUAGAACCACCAUCUAGAAGCUGUCUCUUUUUCUCGGGUGGGAUGAAGAGAAGGGCUUCUUUGCACAGCUUUCUCAUAUGUGCAUAUUUGUGUGGAAUAUUGCUCAUGCAGAUUUUUUUCUGAGCUGAUUGAAAAAGAGUAAACAUUUUUAGUGAAACGGUUUGGCAUCUUUUUCAGUUUUUUUCCCACUGGAAAAAAUGUGCUGAAAAUUUUCCAGUCUAUUUUGCUGUCAUGAAAUAUACCGAAGGCCAGAGGAUGGUUUUACUCAUCGUUCCUGAGGGCACACCUAAAAUGGGGUUUUACCGGAUUCCACCUUGUCUGUCCUGUUCAAUGUGUAGAUGAAUGCAAGAGCUACAAUCCCUUCAAUAUGACAUCUAACUCUCAUCUGACCUAGACUGUAUUGUCAUAUAUUGUGCCCAGUGUCUUGUCGAUCUUGGGGCUAAUUGGCUGAGACUCUGUCCAGAUAAGAUGAAGUGAUACUGGUAGGUUGAGGAAAGCAAAAAGACGACACAGUGAGAGUGAUAUCUGACUGCCAUUUGUUAUUAGAAUUUACACUCUGAUUAAUCUUACUCCCCUAUACUCAGCUAUAUACCAGCAGCUAUGAUCAGUGGCAACCUGAGCUGGACCCAUCUUGAUGAAUGAUCUGCUGGCAGGAAAUUCUCCAUAUGGAGCCCUCAACUUUGGAACUUACUCCUGUUUUGAACCAAAAUAACCCAGAUCUGGUGGGGGGAAGGGGGGUUAUGGCACAUUAUGAAAAUGUAUCUAUUUACCUUGCCUUUUGCAAAUGGGGUGAGGGAGUACUAUGAAUGCUGGCAAUAACAAGAGAGGUGGUAUUUUGUGCAUACUUUAUAUUAAGAGUACAUAAAUAGAUUGUAAAGGAUUAAUAAAUUGAUAAUAUGAACAUGAACAGUACUAUGUAUUGUAAGUGCAUCAGUGGUGCACAUGAUUACAGGGAACCUUUUGGAAUGUAAAACAAUUGAUUAAAACAUCUAUUAAUCAUUUAUAAACUAUUUAUAAAUGUUUCCUUAAUAUAAAGUGUGAUGAUAAUUUCAUUCAGUGUAUGCUACCUUGCACUUGGCCACAUGGAAUUUUAAUUGCCUUUAUGGUAUCCAGGCAUUCUUUUUAUUUAUUUUUUUUAAUGAAAACCUCCUUGACUGCUCAACGUCCUGUAAAUUUGUACUGAUCUAAGUAAAUUUUUCUUCUCAGCAUAUUUUACCACUUUGCUAUUUAUCUCCUCUUUAAAAUCACUGUUAGAUGCAUUAACCAACACUGAUCCUAGCACUGAUCCUUUGAAUAACCAAUUACUAAUUUGUUUCCACUCUGGAAAUCAUCCCUUCUUUGCUUCCUAUCUCUGAACUAGUUCUGAAGGCCAUGACAACUUUAUCUCUUUGCCCUGUGGUUUCUACUUUUCUCUAAUUGCCUCUGACAGAUUUUAUCAAAAGGGUUUUUUUUUUUUUUUUGGAAGACCAAAUUAUAUCCACAAGUUCUUCUCUAGCCGCAUUUUAUUAAUUCUCUCAAAGAAUACUAAGCAAUUUAAGAGGCACAUAAUUUGUCAUUACAAAAGUUGUACUGUUUUUUCCCCAUUAAAUUAUUCAUCAAGGUAAUUUAUUCUUACAUUCAUAAUCCCCAUGCCUUCUCCUCCCCUCCACCCCACUCCCCCCAAAGUAGUUCUUCUGGUACUGAGUUGAGGCUCUGUAGUAGUUAAUUCCCAUGAUUAUUCUUAGUGGAUUUAAGGAUGGCACCAAAAAGACCAUCCUCAAGUCAUGAAGUGUGUCUGCUUUUUAAGAGUGUAAGUUAUUUUUCUUCAUAGAUCAGUAACUUUGUUUUUUAUCUGCAUUAGAAUUCAGGUGAAUGUGAUUUACCAUACUGGAAGUUGUAGUGAUUCAAAAAUGCCUGUACAAUUUGGGGAUACAUAUGCAUCAAGGAAGUCGGAUAUAAUGUUUCCUCUAUAUGGCUAUAGUGUGAUUUAGACCAAGAAUACUGUGUUUAAUUCUGGACACCACAUUGCCAGAAAAAUAAUGUUAAACUGGAAGGUUUCAGAGUAGCAGCCUUGUUAGUCUGGUAUCCGCAAAAUGAAAAGGAGUACUUGUGGCA